GUUGGCGCCGCCCUACACCUCUCUCCGGGAAGAGAGGGGAGGAAAGGCCGUCACCUGGCCGGUUCCCCUCCGUCUGCCCCAGGCGUAUAAGAAGCAGGAGUCUGGAGCCCCAGCCCAUGAGGGAAGGAGAGGAGAGAUAAAUGGGGGCGCUCAAGGCCUGGGGCGCCGGGCAGGGGUCUUGGGCAGGGAUCCUCUGGAUGUGGCCAAGACAAAGAUGGAGAGAUGGAGUUUCGCUUUUGUUGCCCAAGCUGGAGUGCAAUGGUGCGAUCUCAGCUCACUGCAACCUAUGCCUCCCGGAUUCAAGCAAUUCUCCUG
rnacentral:lncRNA from 1 species